AUUCAUGGAGGAAGUCCCAAGAACAGAAAAUUGGAGGAGAGGAGUAUAACAAGAACACACCAUUUCUCCCUCCCAAUAACUAGGAAUCUCUGAGGGACGGAAAGUAGCAAAACCCAAUUCUCCAUCCUUGUAGCAGGCAAGGAAACCCUGGAUGUAGGAGAGAAGGCAGAAAACUCCUUCUCCCUUCCAGCACAGAAAGGAGGAACCUCCCCCCCUCUAGAAGCCUCAUUUAAAGACCCAGCUUGUAGCUGAUUGGAGGAUGCUUGACUAAAGGUCAUCAUGGGAAAUGUAGUCCUAAACUGGAAGCUAAAGCUUGGGAUAGUGGUAUAGGAAAACAGGUAUUCAGUAUUAGAAGUGCUAUGAAACCCUGUUUAGAUACAUUCAUGUGAAUGAAC